GGUCAUUUGGCCAAGUGGUCUAAGGCGCUGGUCUGAGAGGGCGUGGGUUCGAA
rnacentral:tRNA from 1 species